GUGGCAUCCAUAAGUCUAAAUAUUGCUGUUACAUUGCACAACCUUCAAUGUUAUGUCAUAAUUAUGUAAAAGUCUGGCAAAUUAAUUACUGUCUUUGUUAGGAUGAGUUUGGGCGGCCCAAACUGCUGCAUAUACCCUGACUGUGCUUGUACAGAACGCAAGAGAGGUGACACAAUUUCCCUAGUUAAUAUUGCCUGCUAACAUGAAUUUAUUUUAACUAAAUAUGCAGGUUUAAAAUAAUAUACUUGUGUAUUGAUUUUAAGAAAGGCAUUGAUGUUUAUGGUUAGGUACACAUUGGUGCGAUGACAGUGCUUUAUUCGCGAAUGCGCAUGUUAUAUCGUCACCCGUUUGGCAAAGUAGGCUGUGAUACGAUGAUAAAUUAACAGGCACCACAUUGAUUAUAUGCAACGCAGGACAAGCUAGUUAAACUAGUAUAAUAAUCAGCCAUGUGUAGUUAACUAGUGAUUAUUUUAAGAUUGAUUGUUUUUUAUAAGAUAAGUUUGAUGCUGGCUUGCAACUUACAUUGGCUCCUUGCUGCACUCGUGGAGUGCAAUGUGAUCGGUGUCCAAAAAUGCAGAUUACCGAUUGUUAAGAAAACUUGAAGUUGACCUCUAGUCUGUACGGGGGAUAAUUUGAUGUAGGCCUCAUUAAACAUUGUGUACUUCCUACAAGUUCGUGUUAUGCUGUGUUCAGUGUGACACAGUGUGUUCGUGUGGGCUGAAUCGUGUUGGCUUGGGCCUGCCUUGCUGUUGCUGUCUACGUACAUGCACAAGUGCAUGUGUGUGCUAUUAUUCUAUAUUUUUUUGAACGUGUGUCAUGAUACCUUUCCCCUUUCCCAAAUCAGGAGAGGCAGUGUGAGCGGACUGACUCUGAAGCUGAUCAAGGCAUCCGUGACGGAGAUGCUGGAUACUGUCUGAUGACGACUAUGUCAACGUGGCCAGGUCUUUCUUCAAACUCUCUUCUGCUCUGUCCUUCUCUCUCCUGCCCUGUUUCAGUUUAAUGAGAAGGCAGAGGCAGUGGUCCCUUGCUUCAAACCCCUGGUCCAGGCCAACGUUCGAAACAAGAAGAUCUUCAAAGAGACAAGAGUGCAGAUCAUGCAAGCUAAAGGCACCACAAACUACAAGUCUGGUUUCCACUUUGCCUAUGUGGCUCUAUAGGAGUAGACAGUGUUAUAUAUGGAAUGGGUGAUCCUGUUUGGCUUAGUUGGUAAGAGUGUAACAGUUGUUAAAGUACUAUGUGAAUUUCACCAGGUUCAUGUAUUAAUAUGUUGUGUUUAUUUGUUAUUAUGCAUGCUUGCAUCCUGGGAGAAGGGGAGUGUGUACUUACCUUUUGCCCUGCGUGCUCGUGCUCGAAUCAUUUUGAUGCACUGAGAGGUAGGGACGCUUUUUCUGUCUUCAGAAAAGUUUGAUUCUUUUAAGUACAAAGUCAAAACACACAGUGUUUUGUUCAUGAAUAAUGAUGCAUAUUUAGAGGUCACUCAAAAGUGGAUGCACUUGUAAUUGUACUUUUUAGGAUGAUCUCAACAUUCUGAAUUCAACAUAUAGUUAAUAGCUAGUUAAGGUAUUAGCAGGCUAUUGUAUGUGUGAACGAUGGCUAAGCUCCUCGAAUGAUCCCAGUCCCUCCUAUUGUGCAUCUGUUGUAGAAAGAGGCGACGAUUCGCAGAACAUAUGUGCUCAACAAAUGUUUUAUUUCGUUUUGGAUGCAGGUAUGUGGUUUUAUCUAUGUAAAAUAUGUUAUGUAUAAUAAGGAGAGAAUGUACACAUUUUUGUAUUCAAAAAUCAUUGUGAUGCACUAUGAGAGAAAGAGGCGACGAUUUGCGGAACAUAUGUGCUCUACAAACGUUUUAUUUCCUUUUGGAUGCAGAUGCAGGAUGCAGAGAGUGAGUUCUGCUUGAUUAAAACUACCUGAUCUGCAAAGUCCACGUCUAUAGUCUCAAUCAACCUCACACAACGCAGAGUUAAAUGUGUGCUUCUAGACCCGGAUUCAUCGUUGAUCGACGUCAGCUCAAUCACCGCUGCGCUGCUGCUCUAGAGACAAAUUAUAUCAUUGAGGUACUCUUGCCGCCUUGUGGCAAAAAGCGGAACUACAGUAUUUUUCCUGUUUAUUUUAUUUCUGACAACGAUGUAUUGAGAGCGCUGUUUAUAGUUAACCAACAUAGAAGUGUGUUCAUCAACAGACAUUUUAACGUAACAUUAGUGGUUUUACAAUGGUGAUGAACCCAAUUCACUGCUGGGAGGGGGAGGUUUUUCUCAUACUCUGAUCAAACCCCUGUAAAGUGUGUAGGUGCAGGAGGUUCCUCCAUGUUCUGCUCCAUAAAAUUUUGGGAUGAAAGCCCUUCAUCCUUUGUUAAUCCAAAUGCCCCUGUAGAUGGUCUAGCUGAGCUGGUCACUCAGCUAGCCCGGGAAAUAGGGAGCUCCAUUAGGGAAUAACUACAGAGUGGCAGGUCCAGGAUUUAUGAGCCACCAGUAAGUACAGAAAAGAUAAGUGAUCAUCAUUCAGAGUCAGUAGGAUAUGUAGAUCUCAGUCAAAUUAAGUUUAUCAUGCAAUCAGACAUAAAGGAACCACCUACAUAUAGAGUAGAUGGUACAGACAAAUGCUCCAUUCAUGAAUGGGAGGAGUUGAUGGAGAAUAUACUUGAGUAGGAAGGGAUGUCCUGUUGGGGAACAAUCACAUGAGAUGAUUAGUCGAUUAUCUGGCAAAGCAAGAGACAUGGUAAAGAUACAUUUACCCAAUGAGACAACAGUUGAUCCUACAGAGAAGCCAGAGAUUGUAUUUGACAUUCUGAAACAGAAUGUCAGCGAAUUGGCCUAUUCAUGCAUGCCCUUGGCUGAUUUUUACAAUACUAAACCUAUACCCGUAGAGCCUGUUAUGGAGUAUUGGGUUUGAUUGAACAAGGCCGUAGAUGUCGCUGACGAGGGCCUUAACCUCUCUAGGAUAGGGGACGCUAGCGUCUCACUUGGCCAAAAGCCAGGGAAAAUGUAGCGGGCAAAUUCAAAUAAAAUGAUAUCAGAAUCAAACUUUCAUUCAAUCACACAUGUAAGAUACUAAAUUAAAGCUUCACUCGUUGUGAAUCCAGCCAACAUGUCAGAUUUUUAACUUGUUAUGGAAGCGGUCCCGAGGUCGGCGAAAGCAUAAGAAGCUAUUAUCUGAUGAUAGCACAACAGUAAACGAAGAGAGUAGCAUAUUUCAACCCUGCAGGCGCUACACAAAACGCAUAAAUAAAAUAUAAAUCAUGCCUUUGACGAGCUUCUUUUGUUGGCACUCCAAUAUGUCCCAUAAACAUCACAAUUGGUCCUUUUGUUUGUCAAUGUAUCUGUUUUACUUCUGAAGAUCAGUUUAGCACCGACUGAAAAACCCGAUUCAAAUUCAACACAAACCUUCAAAUAGGUAUGUAAUGACACAUUAUAUCAACUCUUUAUAGUGUUUUAUUUACAUUUUAGAGGUGAUAAUGUGAUAAGAUGGACAGAUCGAGUGGGAAAAAAAGCAGUUUCCCCACACGACAUCUCCCUCUCACUAUCACGCAAAUAGGUUUUGAUUCCCCACCGGCCAUUUUUUAAAAGACCCGACGGAGCUCAUUGCCUUCUUGAUUCAUGCAGAGAUGGGCAUCAUGAAGGUCUCAUCAAUGAUUUUUUGGAAAAGAGGAGACAUUGUUCUUUACAAUGGUAUUGAUAUUACAGUUGAUAUGGAAGUACUACUUUUUUGGGCGCUAAAAUAAAGUCAAUUGUACGGACCGGCGCAAUGUACAAAAACCGGGGUGAUGUUUGGAAAGGACAUUUUCCUAUCAUUAAAGGAUAAAUGGUCCGGUUAGCCCUGACCAUUAUCCGUUUCGAAUUCACCAACUCAAAGACGCUUGCCCGCUCCAUCAUAACUUCGUACGUUUUCCCUCCCUGUUUAGAUCAAACGUCCUGCCUGUAAAUCCUGGGUAUGCCC